UGCAAAAUGGUGUAGUGGUUUGAAUGUUGGACUACUACUCUGGAGACCAGGGUUUGAUUCCUUGUUUGGAAA